rnacentral:rRNA from 1 species
UACGAAGGGGGCUAGCGUUGCUCGGAAUGACUGGGCGUAAAGGGCGCGUAGGCGGAUGGCACAGUCAGAUGUGAAAUUCCCGGGCUUAACCUGGGGGCUGCAUUUGAUACGUGUGAUCUAGAGUGAGGAAGAGGGUCGUGGAAUUCCCAGUGUAGAGGUGAAAUUCGUAGAUAUUGGGAAGAACACCGGUGGCGAAGGCGGCGACCUGGUCCUUGACUGACGCUGAGGCGCGAAAGCGUGGGGAGCAAACAGG